rnacentral:lncRNA from 10 species
CGCCUUCGCCGGAAGCUGCCUUGUAUCCGCGUCUCCGCAGGGAAAACUGCGGCUGGCGGUGCGGGAAGUGCUAUUAGUAGUUGUUUAUUUGUUUGUUUGCAGAAAUAAUUGCUUGGGUACGAAGGUCAAACGAGAAUGAAGCAAGUAUAUUAUCUAGUUUGUAUGUCUUUAAAUAGUUUCUCCUCCACACGUCUAAACAUACGCACCUGCUAGUAGGUGCGCAAAUGUUAAAACCUCUUUGGGAAAGCAAUGUGGCAAAAUCUAGUAAAAGUUUUCAAUUACUAAACCCCAGCACUCUGCUCCUACCUAUAUGUCUUGUAGAAACUUUGGUAAGUGAACAAGGAUGUACGUAACAGCGCUGUGGGUAGAAGCAAAAAAUUAGAAACGUCCAUCAAUAACAGAAUAAAUACCUUAUGGGAUGUUAGGAUGUAGUAUUAUACGCCAAUAAAAGAAGACUGAACUCAGAAAUGUGAUGAGGCAAAAAGAGAAAGAUGUAGAAAAAUAAAUAGUAUGACAAUUCAUAUACAUUCAACUCUAAAACUUGUAAAACAAUGCUAUAUAUUGCUUAGUUAUGCAUACAUAUGUAGUUAAAGAAGUCAAGAAAUACAAGAGAAUGAAAAUCAAGUUGAGAAAAGCAGUCAUAUCUGUGAUGGAGGUUGAGAAGUCCAACUUCAAGGCACCACAUCUGGUGAGAGCCUUCAUUCCGAUGACAGCCUUCAUGCUGCCUCAACUCUGGGGAAGCUCCAAGACAGGUAAAAUACAGCAACCUGCAGCAGGAAAAUGGGCUUCAGUUUUCAAGUCUGCAGCUGAGUUGGGAAGUUGCGGACAGUAACCAGAGGAAAGGCCACAUGGGGACAAGAGAGGGCAACUGUCUACAAAUCUGGAAGAGAGACUUCAGAAGAAACCAGCACUGAUGGCAUCUGAUCUUGGACUUCCAGCCUCUGGAUCUAUCUGCCAGAGCCUGAUCUCAUACACACUGAUGUGGUACAGGAAAUGCCACCUGAAAAUAUGGUACCUUGGCAUUUGAGGAAACAGUAGAAGGAGGUCAUAGAAACUAGAAAGAAUUCCUCCUUGCUCUUUGUCCCCCAAAGGAGCCAUAAAACCUGGGCCGAGUUUCUUCUGAAAAUAAGUUAUAAGAUCCUUAUUCCAGAGGGGUCCUGCCCUGUGCCUGGAGGAAAAGAAUGAAGACACAGAGAUGCCUUGAAGAAUCUGAACAAACAGCCCUUGCUAAGUUCCCCCCAGUUUAUUGACAUUAGAUUAGACCUUUUGUCCUCCAAUUAUACUUCUGUGUUCCUGAAAAUACACAUUUUCCCGUUUUUUCUUUUGUUUGCUUUUUUUGAUCUUCAUUUCUGAAGAUUCCCAUGUCAUGUAAAAUAUAUGUUAAACAAAU